GCUGCCAUCGUCUAGUUGGUUAGGACACCGGCCUUUCACGUCGGCAACGCGGGUUCGAGUCCCGCUGGCAGUACCA
rnacentral:tRNA from 2 species